rnacentral:rRNA from 1 species
CUAUCGUUAACUGAAUACAUAGGUUAACGAGGCGAACCGGGGGAACUGAAACAUCUAAGUACCCCGAGGAAAAGAAAUCAACCGAGAUUCCCCCAGUAGCGGCGAGCGAACGGGGAGCAGCCCAGAGUCUGAAUCAGCUUGUGUGUUAGUGGAACGGUCUGGAAAGUCCGACGGUACAGGGUGAUAGUCCCGUACACCAAAAUGCACAGGUUGUGAACUCGAAGAGUAGGGCGGGACACGUGGUAUCCUGUCUGAAUAUGGGGGGACCAUCCUCCAAGGCUAAAUACUCCUGACUGACCGAUAGUGAACCAGUACCGUGAGGGAAAGGCGAAAAGAACCCCGGCGAGGGGAGUGAAAAAGAACCUGAAACCGUGUACGUACAAGCAGUGGGAGCACCUUCGGGUGUGACUGCGUACCUUUUGUAUAAUGGGUCAGCGACUUAUAUUCUGUAGCAAGGUUAACCGUAUAGGGGAGCCGCAGGGAAACCGAGUCUUAACUGGGCGUUAAGUUGCAGGGUAUAGACCCGAAACCCGGUGAUCUAGCCAUGGGCAGGUUGAAGGUUGGGUAACACUAACUGGAGGACCGAACCGACUAAUGUUGAAAAAUUAGCGGAUGACUUGUGGCUGGGGGUGAAAGGCCAAUCAAACCGGGAGAUAGCUGGUUCUCCCCGAAAGCUAUUUAGGUAGCGCCUCGUGAACUCAUCUUCGGGGGUAGAGCACUGUUUCGGCUAGGGGGUCAUCCCGACUUACCAACCCGAUGCAAACUACGAAUACCGAAGAAUGUUAUCACGGGAGACACACGGCGGGUGCUAACGUCCGUCGUGAAGAGGGAAACAACCCAGACCGCCAGCUAAGGUCCCAAAGUCAUGGUUAAGUGGGAAACGAUGUGGGAAGGCACAGACAGCCAGGAUGUUGGCUUAGAAGCAGCCAUCAUUUAAAGAAAGCGUAAUAGCUCACUGGUCGAGUCGGCCUGCGCGGAAGAUGUAACGGGGCUAAACCAUGCACCGAAGCUGCGGCAGCGACACUAUGUGUUGUUGGGUAGGGGAGCGUUCUGUAAGCCUGCGAAGGUGUGCUGUGAGGCAUGCUGGAGGUAUCAGAAGUGCGAAUGCUGACAUAAGUAACGAUAAAGCGGGUGAAAAGCCCGCUCGCCGGAAGACCAAGGGUUCCUGUCCAACGUUAAUCGGGGCAGGGUGAGUCGACCCCUAAGGCGAGGCCGAAAGGCGUAGUCGAUGGGAAACAGGUUAAUAUUCCUGUACUUGGUGUUACUGCGAAGGGGGGACGGAGAAGGCUAUGUUAGCCGGGCGACGGUUGUCCCGGUUUAAGCAUGUAGGCUGGUUGUCCAGGCAAAUCCGGAUAAUCAAGGCUGAGGUGUGAUGACGAGGCACUACGGUGCUGAAGUAACAAAUGCCCUGCUUCCAGGAAAAGCCUCUAAGCAUCAGGUAACAUUAAAUCGUACCCCAAACCGACACAGGUGGUCAGGUAGAGAAUACCAAGGCGCUUGAGAGAACUCGGGUGAAGGAACUAGGCAAAAUGGUGCCGUAACUUCGGGAGAAGGCACGCUGGUGUGUAGGUGAAGUCCCUGCGGAUGGAGCUGAGACCAGUCGAAGAUACCAGCUGGCUGCAACUGUUUAUUAAAAACACAGCACUGUGCAAACACGAAAGUGGACGUAUACGGUGUGACGCCUGCCCGGUGCCGGAAGGUUAAUUGAUGGGGUUAUCCGUAAGGAGAAGCUCUUGAUCGAAGCCCCGGUAAACGGCGGCCGUAACUAUAACGGUCCUAAGGUAGCGAAAUUCCUUGUCGGGUAAGUUCCGACCUGCACGAAUGGCGUAAUGAUGGCCAGGCUGUCUCCACCCGAGACUCAGUGAAAUUGAACUCGCUGUGAAGAUGCAGUGUACCCGCGGCAAGACGGAAAGACCCCGUGAACCUUUACUAUAGCUUGACACUGAACAUUGAGCCUUGAUGUGUAGGAUAGGUGGGAGGCUUUGAAGCGUGGACGCCAGUCUGCGUGGAGCCAACCUUGAAAUACCACCCUUUAAUGUUUGAUGUUCUAACGUUGGCCCCUGACCGGGGUUGCGGACAGUGUCUGGUGGGUAGUUUGACUGGGGCGGUCUCCUCCCAAAGCGUAACGGAGGAGCACGAAGGUUAGCUAAUCCUGGUCGGACAUCAGGAGGUUAGUGCAAUGGCAUAAGCUAGCUUGACUGCGAGCGUGACGGCGCGAGCAGGUGCGAAAGCAGGUCAUAGUGAUCCGGUGGUUCUGAAUGGAAGGGCCAUCGCUCAACGGAUAAAAGGUACUCCGGGGAUAACAGGCUGAUACCGCCCAAGAGUUCAUAUCGACGGCGGUGUUUGGCACCUCGAUGUCGGCUCAUCACAUCCUGGGGCUGAAGUAGGUCCCAAGGGUAUGGCUGUUCGCCAUUUAAAGUGGUACGCGAGCUGGGUUUAGAACGUCGUGAGACAGUUCGGUCCCUAUCUGCCGUGGGCGCUGGAGAAUUGAGGGGGGCUGCUCCUAGUACGAGAGGACCGGAGUGGACGCAUCACUGGUGUUCGGGUUGUCAUGCCAAUGGCACUGCCCGGUAGCUAAAUGCGGAAGAGAUAAGUGCUGAAAGCAUCUAAGCACGAAACUUGCCCCGAGAUGAGUUCUCCCUGAGACUUUAAGUCUCCUGAAGGAACGUUAAAGACGAUGACGUUGAUAGGCCGGGUGUGUAAGCGCAGCGAUGCGUUGAGCUAACCGGUACUAAUGAACCGUGAGGCUUAACCUU